GUAUCCUUACCUGAAUACAUAGGGUAAGGAGGCGAACCGGGGGAACUGAAACAUCUAAGUACCCCGAGGAAAAGAAAUCAACCGAGAUUCCGAAAGUAGCGGCGAGCGAAAUUGGACUAGCCCUUAAGCUUUACACGCGUUAGACGAACGGUCUGGAAAGUCCGACGAUACAGGGUGAUAGUCCCGUAGUUGACGACGUGUGUUCAGUGAAAUCGAGUAGGGCGGGACACGUGAUAUCCUGUCUGAAUAUGGGGGGACCAUCCUCCAAGGCUAAAUACUACUGACUGACCGAUAGUGAACCAGUACCGUGAGGGAAAGGCGAAAAGAACCCCUGUGAGGGGAGUGAAAUAGAACCUGAAACCGUGUACGUACAAGCAGUAGGAGCAGGCUUUGUCCUGUGACUGCGUACCUUUUGUAUAAUGGGUCAGCGACUUAUAUUCAGUGGCAAGGUUAACCAUCUAGGGGAGCCGUAGGGAAACCGAGUCUUAACUGGGCGUUCAGUCUCUGGAUAUAGACCCGAAACCAGGUGAUCUAGCCAUGGGCAGGUUGAAGGUUGAGUAACAUCAACUGGAGGACCGAACCGACUAAUGUUGAAAAAUUAGCGGAUGACUUGUGGCUAGGGGUGAAAGGCCAAUCAAACCUGGAGAUAGCUGGUUCUCCCCGAAAGCUAUUUAGGUAGCGCCUCGGACGAAUACUACUGGGGGUAGAGCACUGUUAAGGCUAGGGGGUCAUCCCGACUUACCAACCCUUUGCAAACUCCGAAUACCAGUAAGUACUAUCCGGGAGACACACGGCGGGUGCUAACGUCCGUCGUGGAGAGGGAAACAACCCAGACCGCCAGCUAAGGUCCCAAAUUACUACUAAGUGGGAAACGAUGUGGGAAGGCUCAGACAGCCAGGAUGUUGGCUUAGAAGCAGCCAUCAUUUAAAGAAAGCGUAAUAGCUCACUGGUCGAGUCGGCCUGCGCGGAAGAUGUAACGGGGCUAAGUAGUAAACCGAAGCUGCGGCAAUGUGCUUUUGCACAUUGGGUAGGGGAGCGUUCUGUAAGCGGUUGAAGGUGUGUGGUAACGCAUGCUGGACGUAUCAGAAGUGCGAAUGCUGACAUGAGUAACGAUAAAGGGGGUGAAAAACCUCCUCGCCGGAAGACCAAGGGUUCCUGUCCAACGUUAAUCGGGGCAGGGUAAGUCGACCCCUAAGGCGAGGCCGAAAGGCGUAGUCGAUGGGAAACGGGUUAAUAUUCCCGUACUUCUUACAAUUGCGAUGGGGGGGACGNNNNNNNNNNNNNNNNNNNNNNNNNNNNNNNNNNNNNNNNNNNNNNNNNNNNNNNNNNNNNNNNNNNNNNNNNNNNNNNNNNNNNNNNNNNNNNGAUGUGAAGUCAUUGAUGCCAUGCUUCCAGGAAAAGCCUCUAAGCUUCAGAUUGUAAGGAAUCGUACCCCAAACCGACACAGGUGGUCGGGUAGAGAAUACCAAGGCGCUUGAGAGAACUCGGGUGAAGGAACUAGGCAAAAUGGUACCGUAACUUCGGGAGAAGGUACGCUCUUGAUGGUGAAGUCCCUCGCGGAUGGAGCUGACGAGAGUCGCAGAUACCAGGUGGCUGCAACUGUUUAUUAAAAACACAGCACUGUGCAAAAUCGUAAGAUGACGUAUACGGUGUGACGCCUGCCCGGUGCCGGAAGGUUAAUUGAUGGGGUUAGACUUCGGUCGAAGCUCUUGAUCGAAGCCCCGGUAAACGGCGGCCGUAACUAUAACGGUCCUAAGGUAGCGAAAUUCCUUGUCGGGUAAGUUCCGACCUGCACGAAUGGCGUAAUGAUGGCCACGCUGUCUCCACCCGAGACUCAGUGAAAUUGAAAUCGCUGUGAAGAUGCAGUGUACCCGCGGCUAGACGGAAAGACCCCGUGAACCUUUACUACAGCUUGGCACUGAACAUUGACCCUACAUGUGUAGGAUAGGUGGGAGGCUUUGAAGCACGUACGCCAGUAUGUGUGGAGCCGUCCUUGAAAUACCACCCUUGUAGUGUUGAUGUUCUAACGUUGACCCCUUAUCGGGGUUGCGGACAGUGCCUGGUGGGUAGUUUGACUGGGGCGGUCUCCUCCCAAAGAGUAACGGAGGAGCACGAAGGUGGGCUAAUCACGGUUGGACAUCGUGAGGUUAGUGCAAUGGCAUAAGCCCGCUUGACUGCGAGAAUGACAAUUCGAGCAGGUGCGAAAGCAGGUCAUAGUGAUCCGGUGGUUCUGAAUGGAAGGGCCAUCGCUCAACGGAUAAAAGGUACUCCGGGGAUAACAGGCUGAUACCGCCCAAGAGUUCAUAUCGACGGCGGUGUUUGGCACCUCGAUGUCGGCUCAUCACAUCCUGGGGCUGAAGUCGGUCCCAAGGGUAUGGCUGUUCGCCAUUUAAAGUGGUACGCGAGCUGGGUUUAGAACGUCGUGAGACAGUUCGGUCCCUAUCUGCCGUGGGCGUUGGAAGAUUGAAGGGGGCUGCUCCUAGUACGAGAGGACCGGAGUGGACGAACCUCUGGUGUUCGGGUUGUGUCGCCAGACGCAUUGCCCGGUAGCUAAGUUCGGAAUCGAUAACCGCUGAAAGCAUCUAAGCGGGAAGCGAGCCCUGAGAUGAGUCUUCCCUGAUACUUUAAGUAUCCUAAAGGGUUGUCGGAGACUACGACGUUGAUAGGUCAGGUGUGUAAGUGCUGUGAGGCAUUGAGCUAACUGAUACUAAUUGCCCGUGAGGCUUAACCAUACAACACCCAAGGGGUUU
rnacentral:rRNA from 1 species